GUCUAAUCUGCCCAAUGAAAUUUUUAAUGGCUGCAGUAUCAAUAACUGUACAAAGGUAGCAUAAUAAUUAGUUUUUUAAUUGAAAACUAGAACGAAAGAUUAAAUGAAAUAUAAACUUUAUUAAUAAAAUUAAAAUUAAAUUUAAAUUUUAAGUUAAAAUUCUUAAAUAUAAUUAAAAGACGAGAAGACCCUUUAGAAUUUUAUAUUAAUUAAAAUUAAAAUUAAAAUAUUAAUAAUAUAAAUUUUAACUAAUAUUUAAUUGGGGUAAUUUUUUAAUUUUAUAAACUUUAAAAUAAUAAAACAUUAAUUAAUGAACUUAUAAACCUAAAAUUUAGAAUUUUAAAAUAAAUUACCUUAGGGAUAACAGCGUCAUUUUUUUUGAAAGUUCACAUUUAUAAAAAAGAUUGCGACCUGGAUGUUGAAUUAAGA
rnacentral:rRNA from 1 species